rnacentral:lncRNA from 12 species
AAAUCCUCAACUAAUUUCAACCUCAUCAAAACCCAACCUCCUCUUAAAAAGGUUGGGGGUGGGAGGAGUAAAUGCCAAGCCUCGGGGGUGAGAGAGAAGGGGCUGCGCCCUGGGCGCCGGGACUCCGAACCUUUCCCCACUCCCUGGAACUUCUCCAGAUCUUCUGGAUCUGAAGUUGCAGAGGUGGCUGCUCCAUUCCUCCCUCCGCUCGAGGCCUGGUCUCAUCAGGCAGGGGCCAAACGCGCCCCCCGACCCCCCGACCCCGCUCGGGGCCCUCCGCACAACACAGUGCGGGGGUGGGGAGGCAGGGUAGGGACACGCUUUCCCCUCCCCAUUCAGUCGUAAUCCAGGGCCGCCGCGGCCUCGGCGGUACAUUCGCCACGCCGGCCGCGUGUCUGGAAUCCCCGGGACACCUCGGAAUUACCUGCCCCGCACCGCCGGCCGCUCGCCUCCUGCCAGGAGUUAAACAAAUGGCGCGAUCCCCACGGCGUGCUGGCAGAGGGGACCGCAGCGAGCGCAGGGCCCCUCACACUCCAUUCAAAGCUCUCCUUAAAAGGCUCUUUUCAGGUCUUGGACUGUCAUCGGCUGCAGGUUUGAAUGCGGGCGUGCAGCUUCCUGAGAGGUGGCCUUCCUGAGAGGGGUCGGAUGGGGAGAGGCCACACCAGACACCCAUGUGUCUGUUUGCUGUCCCUACAUGGUCCUCAGAGCUGAAGUGAAGAUUUCCUCUGCUUUCUUCCUGUGCCCCCUUCACCUGCCCCCCACCGCCACACCGCCCCCAGUCCAACCAGCCGGAGCCCUCCCUCUCUCCCUUUGCUGGGCCUUAUCUGGUAUGUUCAGUGAUGCGAUAAAACAAAAAGGGAAGUUUUUGAUUGCACGAACACACCCUUUGGAGGGGUUCCAGCUAGAGAAGAGUCCGUGAAGGAAAGAGAGAGCCGUGUGGGGAGGCCUAGGUGCCAGGAUCGAGGAAAAUGCAAGCUUAGGAGGAAAAAAUAAUAACAUGCUAGAAUGGCAGUGGUGGUUUCGAGAGGUCUGGAGGGUGGAGGGAGUUCAAAAAGGAACUUGCCUAAUGAGGCCUCUCUGAAGAUUUACUGCUGUGGCCGCUGCUGAGAAGAGGAUCCGGAGAGAAGAUGUUGGGCCCCGAGCAGCUUCGCAGGAAGCCAGACAGGGCUGUGCUCUCGGCAGGCCGAGGGCAGAGCCUGCUCAGCCGCAGCAUCUCCGGCUUGCAGUUGAGUUGUUUUUAAAGAGCCCCCUCC